CCCCCCGCUGAACUGGAAGCUUUGUUACUGACCCAUCCAUGCGUGCAGGAUGCCGCCGUUGUCGGUCUUGAUGCAGGAGAGGGUAUUGGGGAGGUCCCGCGAGCUUAUGUUGUCCCUAAACCCAAUGCAUGUUUGAAGGAGGAGGACGUCGCCAGAUUUGUGGAAGAAAACGUGAUACACUACAAGAGGCUGACGGGAGGAGUGAAAUUUGUGGACACAAUUCCAAAAUCAAACAGCGGUAAAAUAAUCCGUCGUCAGCUCAAGGACAUAUUUGUUAGUUACUGAAUACCUUCCACCAUCAAUGAUGUCAUUUGUGCAUAAACAAAAAAAAAUCAAAUUAGUAGUAGGGGUAUUGUGUCAAAUGGUAAAGAUAACACGAAUAUGUUCCUCCUUUGUGCAACAAUUUGUUAAAAUAAAGAGGAUGCUCUACAAAAUGUAAAAAAAAAUCAAAUCAAAUAAGACACUCAUCGACUCGAUGUUUAUAUUUGAUAAUUGAAUCUGAUAACAAGACUAUGAGACGUGUUCUUUUGACAAUGAUUCAUACACAUCCAUCUAGUAAUGGAGUCGAACCGAAGGGUAUAAUUUGUACGAAGUUAUGAACAGGAAAGGGAAAACGCAGUGACCGGUCUCGGACUCGAACACCGGACCUCCGAACUCUGAACGGACGCUCUAAAACUUUCAGCAACCAGGCCACUUGCCUCAUUCAAGUCCAGUUCGGUUACAUUCCUGCCUUCCUCAACAAAGUCUUCGACCCCGAAGACACACACGACACCCUAUACUGCCCUCCGUGGGUAUUAGAUUGGACAACAGAUGUGACAGGAAAGGAACUUGGAACCUCCGAGUUCUAGACGGACGCUCCAACCAUUUUAGCUAACUGGUCACCGACGUUCAGCCCAAUCCAGCUUAUUUAAGGAGUCUAAACCUCUUUUGCAGAAUGUAGAAUCUGCGUUCGAUCUGAUUUUUUGUAUAUUUAACUUUCAUAAGGCACAACGUAAAUGCUCUCUGUACAAGUGAUGGUACAUCUAUGUAAAGUUUGAUAAAGCUAAUAUUUUCAAUGUAAUACGGUAUGUAACAAACCAGGUUAAUAAUUUGAUUGAUCAUAUGCUCGGCCUAUUAUCCAGUGAAUCGGCUCAUUUCCACUAAAUGCUAUGGUUUGUACCACGGAUGUGAGUUAAUGCUGCAUUUGUGCUUAAUAAUUAUAACAGGUUCAUAUUCAAAGAUGUGUAUACUUCCAGCUUUUCUUCGUUUGUUCUACUAAAUGGUGGAUGGAUUCUGAUGUUCGGGGUCUAAUGGCAUUCGUUCUUACUUUACCACGUAGUCAAAUGACAAACUCGAGAGACUACACUAACACUUGGUCGACAAAACUUGCCAGUGCAAACAUUUAACGUAUUUCAUAGUGUAUAUAAAUAAAUGUAAUGCAAUUGU